AUGGCGAGCGGCGACACGCUGGACGACUUCGCCGGCAAGCUCGGGGCCAUGGUGGCGCGUUUUGCAGGGCUCGGAGAGACGCUCGAGGACGCAGCCCUGGUGAAAAAGCUGCUGGACUGCGUUCCCGAUCGCCUGUACGCAGCGGUGCCGGGGAUGGAGCAGUUCUGCGACCUGGAGACGCUGCUCUUCGACGACGCGCUCGGGCGCCUGAAGGCGUACGAUGAGCGGCUGCGUCGGCGUGGUCAGGCACGCGGCAAGCGGGCGGACGGUGAG
rnacentral:rRNA from 1 species